AACGCACCUUGCACCCUUUGGCAUUCCGAAGGGUAUGCUCGUUUGAGUGUCAUUGUACUCUCACACUCUCUGAUCCUUUGGGAUUCGGGGAGCGGUGGACUUGGGUGUUUGCUGCUUUCCUUGUGGCUCACCUCAAAUGCGUCAGUGCACCUCUUGGUUGGACAUAGUACGGCGUGAUAAGUGUCUUCGCCGGCACCUCGCAAGAGGGUGGUCAAUUGGGAGCUCUGUGCUUUCAAACCGUCUUCGGACAAUAUCUGACAACUUGACCUCAAAUCGAGUAGGACUACCCGCUGAACUUAA
rnacentral:misc_RNA from 1 species